CGGAUUCUGGCUCAGGAUGAACGCUAGCUACAGGCUUAACACAUGCAAGUCGAGGGGCAGCAUGAGAUUAGCUUGCUAAUCUUGAUGGCGACCGGCGCACGGGUGAGUAACGCGUAUCCAACCUUCCCCCUACUCAGGCAUAGCCCGGUGAAAACCGGAUUAACUCCUGAUAGUUUCACUAGAUGGCAUCUGACGGUGAAUAAAGCUCAGCGGUAAGGGAUGGGGAUGCGUCUGAUUAGCUUGUUGGCGGGGUAACGGCCCACCAAGGCGACGAUCAGUAGGGGUUCUGAGAGGAAGGUCCCCCACAUUGGAACUGAGACACGGUCCAAACUCCUACGGGAGGCAGCAGUGAGGAAUAUUGGUCAAUGGGCGCGAGCCUGAACCAGCCAAGUAGCGUGCAAGGAUGACGGCCCUAUGGGUUGUAAACUGCUUUUGUGCGGGAAUAAAGUCAGGGACGUGUCCCUGUUUGCAUGUACCGCAAGAAUAAGGACCGGCUAAUUCCGUGCCAGCAGCGGC
rnacentral:rRNA from 1 species